CUGGCUCUCCUUUGCCUUUGUGAAGCUUCUGCUCAUAUCCAGCAGUUUUUCUGAUUUGAUUUGAUCCAGAAUUGAUUUCCUGUGGUGUGUUUAUGAAGACUGUAACUGAAGAUUUUAGGAAAAGCAGUGUAAAAUGUUCAGAGAACAUCCACUGGUCUUGGGGUACCACUAACUGACUUUCGAAUACAGGCAGUGGUCUACCAUGGCUUACCAGAGUCUUUCACCUGUGUACUUCCCUAAACUCUGAGGAUGUUCAACACCUGAAUGACUGGAUCCUAGAGACCUGGGUGAACCUGACCAUGAUGAUCUACCCAUACCUGACCAUGAUGAUACCCAUACCUGACCAACUUUUUAAAGCUUUUGCCUUCUUGGCCUAUCAAGAGGGAGCUCCGCUUCCACCUGCUGUGUGACAUCACCCACUGUGGGAUCCCUG
rnacentral:lncRNA from 1 species